UACGUAGGGUGCGAGCGUUGUCCGGAAUUAUUGGGCGUAAAGAGCUCGUAGGCGGUUUGUCGCGUCUGCUGUGAAAUCCCGAGGCUCAACCUCGGGUCUGCAGUGGGUACGGGCAGACUGGAGUGCGGUAGGGGAGAAUGGAAUUCCUGGUGUAGCGGUGGAAUGCGCAGAUACCAGGAGGAACACCGAUGGCGAAGGCAGUUCUCUGGGCCGUAACUGACGCUGAGGAGCGAAAGCGUGGGGAGCGAACAGG
rnacentral:rRNA from 1 species